AGAAGAUGAGAUAGCAAGUUGAAUGCACUAGUUCCCCGCGGGACCAUUGAAGCAACGUUGCGCGUGGUUAGUAUCCGGAUGGGUGACCAUCUGGACAAUCGCCUGCUUCUGGCU
rnacentral:rRNA from 1 species